CCUAACACAUGCAAGUCGAACGGCAGCACAGGAGAGCUUGCUCUCUGGGUGGCGAGUGGCGGACGGGUGAGGAAUACAUCGGAAUCUACCUUUUCGUGGGGGAUAACGUAGGGAAACUUACGCUAAUACCGCAUAAGACCUUCGGGUGAAAGCCGGGGACCUUCGGGCCUGGCGCGGAUAGAUGAGCCGAUGUCGGAUUAGCUUGUUGGCGGGGUAAAAGCCCACCAAGGCGACGAUCCGUAGCUGGUCUGAGAGGAUGAUCAGCCACACUGGAACUGAGACACGGUCCAGACUCCUACGGGAGGCAGCAGUGGGGAAUAUUGGACAAUGGGCGCAAGCCUGAUCCAGCCAUACCGCGUGGGUGAAGAAGGCCUUCGGGUUGUAAAGCCCUUUUGUUGGGAAAGAAAUCCUGCCGGUUAAUAACCAGUAGGGAUGACGGUACCCAAAGA
rnacentral:rRNA from 1 species